rnacentral:rRNA from 1 species
CAGUCUGCAUGGAGCCGACCUUGAAAUACCACCCUUUAAUGUUUGAUGUUCUAACGUGGACCCGUAAUCCGGGUUGCGGACAGUGUCUGGUGGGUAGUUUGACUGGGGCGGUCUCCUCCUAAAGAGUAACGGAGGAGCACGAAGGUUGGCUAAUCCUGGUCGGACAUCAGGAGGUUAGUGCAAUGGCAUAAGCCAGCUUGACUGCGAGCGUGACGGCGCGAGCAGGUGCGAAAGCAGGUCAUAGUGAUCCGGUGGUUCUGAAUGGAAGGGCCAUCGCUCAACGGAUAAAAGGUACUCCGGGGAUAACAGGCUGAUACCGCCCAAGAGUUCAUAUCGACGGCGGUGUUUGGCACCUCGAUGUCGGCUCAUCACAUCCUGGGGCUGAAGUAGGUCCCAAGGGUAUGGCUGUUCGCCAUUUAAAGUGGUACGCGAGCUGGGUUUAGAACGUCGUGAGACAGUUCGGUCCCUAUCUGCCGUGGGCGCUGGAGAACUGAGGGGGGCUGCUCCUAGUACGAGAGGACCGGAGUGGACGCAUCACUGGUGUUCGGGUUGUCAUGCCAAUGGCACUGCCCGGUAGCUAAAUGCGGAAGAGAUAAGUGCUGAAAGCAUCUAAGCACGAAACUUGCCCCGAGAUGAGUUCUCCCUGAGACUUAGAGUCUCCUGAAGGAACGUUGAAGACGACGACGUUGAUAGGCCGGGUGUGUAAGCGCAGCGAUGCGUUGAGCUAACCGGUACUAAUGAACCGUGAGGCUUAACCUUACA